rfam:Citrus sinensis cultivar Ridge Pineapple sweet orange scaffold00932_contig_2, whole genome shotgun sequence.
CAUUGGCAAUGACGAUCGAAAUAUACAGCUUAUAUGCCAGUUCUGCUUCAGAAAAUUCUUGAUUGAUAAAGCUGUUUCAUACUCUGAGCCUCUG